GGCCCCUUGGUCAAGCGGUUAAGACAUCGCCCUUUCACGGCGGCGACACGAGUUCGAUUCUCGUAGGGGUCA
rnacentral:tRNA from 1 species